ensembl:lncRNA
UUCCUUCCAAACUGGUCAGCCUCACAACUUGACAUUGCUUCCUCUACUUCCAGACAGAGAGAUGCUGACAUGCACAAAUAAGGUAUUUCAGGAAACACAGGAUAGUAUACUGCUGCUUCAAAUAUUAUGCCUAAACGAUGUUUAAUUACUUUCCAUUCUUCAUGCAGGCAUGACAGGUUCAUCAGCAGUCACUACCUACGAGCUACUGAGCUAGGAACUUGAUGAUGACUAGGGAUGACUGGCAUAAAGUUGUCCUUGGAGCCAAAUGAAUUUCUCAAAGUAAAAAGUACAGACCAACUGCUUAUUUACUGGCAGAAUGCUUUGCCCUUCUGUCACUCCAGUAGCAUCGGAUGUGCAUGUUUCUGCCUACUUUCACUAUUGUGUUUUCUGUAUUCUGUCUCUACCUCUCUGCCUCUUUCCGGCAUCUACUUCCUCCACCUUCCACGGAGCUCAAAGGUGUUAUGCUCAGAUUGGUUAGCUGAAUGUGAGUCAUCAGAGCAGGUCAUUUCAUUUUCCCAUGGUGUGUUUUGCUCCAUCUCAUGACCAUCAUUUUUUUUUCCAUUUCAGCCUGACCAGUAUUACCUGCUUGGCACGGCAGUUUAUCAGUGAUUAAUGAGGUGCCUAUUUUCUGGGAUGAAGCAGCUAAAGAAGUUUUUUCUUUACUAUGCAGAUGAUUCAAUAUGAUUUUCAUUCAGCUUACUGAGCGUUCAUAUGCUGAUUAUUUAAACGUUCUGCCUUAUUGCCUAGAGAGGUACGCAGUGAUUCAGUGCUAACCAUAUCUGUUCUUAUAAAACUCCCAUGAAGUCUAAGUAUAUACACAUAGUUCCCAAAAAAAUAACCUGGUAAGAGAUGGGCUUGUCAUGUACUAUUUGUUAAGUGGGAAGAUAAAAACUGAAGUGAAACCUUCUGGCUGGCCAGAAUGUAUAUUUAAAAACACUUGACAGGUACCCAGUAAUUUGCACUCUUGUAGCAGCAUGCUGACGCCGUACCUCAUCACGGGCAAACAAAAAGUUUGCUCCAACUUGUUUUCUCUCCUGUUUUCUCAUGGACUCACAUGGAAUAAUAAAUCACGUCAGAGAAUGGCACAUUAGCCAGAUUACAUGCAGAGAAAGAGGAAAUAGGAAUGUUGUUGCUUUAGGAAAAGGCUGUAAGAAUGGAGGACUGUGGGCAAUUACUGCAAGCUGAAGUGAUGACUCAGGGUACUUGUUGUGAAGAAGCAUCACAUUUGGGGUUUCCCAACCAAGUCUGGUCCUUUUUUCUUCCAGCUUUUAAUUUGUUCAAUGAAGGAGUGUGGUUGUAUUUGCUGUAAUACCAUUAAAUAAUACAAUUAAAGUAGCUAUUUGCAAGGGUCUUUGCAAAGAGUUAGGAACACUUCUGUAAUAAAGAUAGGUGAUAAUUGAAGGAAUUGUGUUUGAAUAGACUUGUCUUAAAUAUAGGACAGAAGUUAUUUGCUGGAGGAACUCUCAUGCCAGACCCAAGGAUCAGCUCUCUGCUUUGUGACCACUGACGUGAAAUAAAAUGCAGUGACCAGAAGACGUCUGAAAUGAAGUCAGAUUUUAUUGUCUAAUGGACUUUCAUCAGUGUGGGAUUAAAACAAGGCUCAUAAAACCAACUGCUAUUUAGUGGUCAUGGAAAGAAAGUAAAUCUGCAAUUAAAUUAUAACGGGGGUAUGUUAAAUAGGGGUGAGUAAAGGCAGUUCAACUUAAUUAAUUAAAGCUGGAAAAUAUUUAAACUAUCAGGAACAGAUUUCUACUGAAACCAUAUGAUGAGCUUUGGCUUGAUUACCCUCAGACAGCUCACUGCUGUAUAACUCUUCAGGCAAAACACCUGCCGAGAGCCAUAUGCUGGUAAAGAGAGAUUGCAGACACAUUUUAAAGUCGAUGAAGACAGUUUGGAUUCAAGCAAAGAUUACAUAACCACCAUAGUGGUGUAGUCCUGCACGAUGCUGUCUGUGCUAUGGUUCAGUGGGGGGUGCUUCUUCAUGGAAAAGUAUUGGUUGUAUUCAGUAUUUGUCUACAUGGGCUACCAGAAGCAAUUACGGCUCAGAAAAACCUUUUCAUGAUAAUGGUGUUCUUGGAUCUUCCUGCACUGAGCAUGUCUUGACAGGGAAGUUAUGGAGUCUUCCUGCAACUCUAUUCUGUGGUACAGGUUCUGUGGCCUCAGCUGCAGCAUAUAGUCUCAUCAUGCACUGCCAAAAGUCCCAACUCUGCACUGCCUACUGUUCCUGCUUAGCCCAGGCACUGAGAGAGCAACCCAAUGAAGCCAGCAGUGCAUCCUCCUGGCAGUGCCCAGCAGCACACAUGGUCAGAAGGCCUGGGCUGAUCUGUUCUCAAGAGCAACACUGCCUGGACAACGUACAGCCAACAGGACUGUGCUGCAGCCUGCACCAUCUGUGCGUGCCUUCAUCCGCGACGUACUUCUUCAGAAAUUCUGCCACACAGGUGGGAUGUUCAGCCUUUGUUUGCUGUGCUCACCACGCCAUCCACAAGACACAAGGGAGGACCUCAGAACCGCAUGCCAGCACUGGAAGAUCCAAGCUCUUGGUGACCCACUGGAUCCAGAAUCUGCCUUUUGCCUACAGUAACAAGCAGAAGGCCAUGAUGGUGGCAGGCAAGCACAACCACCACAUCUACACCUACACUCUAGCUCUGGCUUUUACCCACAACCGUUUGUUAGCUGAUGCAUUUUAAAGAAUCUACAAGAUACUCUAAAACUGUACAGAGGAAGGCACAAUUUAGGCUUUGGGUGGCUUCUGAAGAACAACAGGGGACAGUAUCAUGGCAACAUUAUUCUCUGGAGCUGACUGCAACAGCCUCUGUUGGGCUACAGCUUAUACUAAUAAGGACAGCAAGAGUGUUUUGUCUUGAAUAAUAUUGGCUUUGGGGUCUGGCCAGGAAUAUGGUCACAAAACCAUACACACACCAUGUUGCCUGAGAUGGUGACUUAGAGAUAGCCUUUGGUUUGCAUGCUCUCAUAUCUUUAAGUGCAUAUACAGUUGCACAAAUGCACACUCAAAAGUGCUUUCAAUGCCCCCAUUUCUGGUUUCUUUUUCUAACAUACCUUCAGUGUAUCCCCAUGUACGGACAUCUCUGUAAUAGUCUAGAAGCACUCUGCAUUGUGAACAUGGAUAGAAUAACCUCAAGCAUGGUGAGGGCAUAGUCAGAGUAUCUGUUUCAUUCUCUGGGCUCAAGUUAACAUUUCUCAGAGCAGCAUCAAGAUAUCAAUGACACUGCAUUGAAAAGGGAGAACGUUUCCCUUCUAGCCUGUCCCAGGGAAACCCAGAGAGCACAGUUCUUGUGAACCUCCCAGGAGCUCAGGGAAAAGAAAGGAGUGCUACAAAAUACCAGGAAUGUCAUAGCUUCCCCCAAAGUCUUUUCCAUUAGCAAGAUCUGUCUUACUGAAAUGUUUGCUUUUAUAAAGUGGAUAAUCUGGAAGCUGUCUCCUUUCAUCUGACUUUAGGCAAGUCAGGCUGAGAGAAUAAUAAAUUCUUACCCUCUGUUGAAGAAUGUCUUGAUUUUUCUUUCCCGAAAAUACAUAUAACUGGAUGCUAGUUCCGAGAAUGUCAUCAUGCCCUAGGAUUGCUUGAGUAAAUAAGAGGAAUUGUAGCUAUUGCCAAGAUGUUCUUCAUUCCUAUUUUUGGGCAUACUUCUGAAAUUCAUACGUAAGCAACACUCACUGCAAUCAAGGGAAGUUGUAAGUUGUACUUAGGUAAGGACUGAUGCUAAACCUCAUCACAGCAGGAUUUUCUGGAUUUCUGACUCUCAGUCUGAGUCUACAGCUCAAGUCUUGAAGCUGCUCCUCACCCUUACAUUGGUCCACAGCAAAACCACAGAAAGGAACAAAAAUGAACUGUGGGUGGAAAAUCAAACUCUGAGUUGAAAUGUUAGAUGUUGUUAUUCAGGUCCAUCUCAAAUUUAAAUCAGUAGUUCAGAUGGACUGGUUCUGCUGCUCCUACUCCUCCUUUGCCAUGUAGCUCUGUGACAGAAGUGGAACAGAAGUUCUCCUACAUGCAGUAGCAGGAACCUCAGAGAUGCUGCAGAGCACAAGGCUGCUUGUGGCAGUGUGCUGCCCAGCUGCCCCAUGCCAUCAGUAUUACAGCACUAAGACCUAAAAAUGGAGAACGCUGUUUCAUCACACAAAACAAGCUAUUGGGCACUGGGUUGAUAUUAUUUUAGCAUAGGCUUUGCAAUCUUUCUUCUCAAAGGAUUAGGCUGUAGACUGGUAUGUAAACCAGUUUAUAAUCAGCCGAUGUGUUUAAAAGAAGCAUGUAUCUAAGCUAGGUGAACUUAAAGUCUGCUCAUAGGUGGUGGCUGGCUAAUCACUGCCAUUUAUAUACAUCUUUGAUUCUCUGUGAGUGCCUGGCAUGACAUCAGUGAGAAGGAAUAGACUGGGAGGUUCAGGCAUUCGUUGCAAAGGUGGACGUGUGGUGUGCUGAUACGGACAGUGCUGCCUAUCUGAUGACAUGCUGACAGCUGAUACACCCUUACACACAUGCCUGUGCUGUGGGCACACGUUCUGGAAAAUCCAGAGCAUACAGGAUACAUCUGCAUGCAGAAAUGCCCAUACGCAGAAAUUUUUAUUUCAGUAAGAAUUUAC